rnacentral:rRNA from 1 species
UGCCAGCAGCCGCGGUAAUACGGAGGGGGUUAGCGUUGUUCGGAAUUACUGGGCGUAAAGCGCACGUAGGCGGAUCAGAAAGUAAGGGGUGAAAUCCCAGGGCUCAACCCUGGAACUGCCUCUUAAACUAUCAGUCUAGAGUUCGAGAGAGGUGAGUGGAAUUCCAAGUGUAGAGGUGAAAUUCGUAGAUAUUUGGAGGAACACCAGUGGCGAAGGCGGCUUACUGGCUCGAUACUGACGCUGAGGUGCGAAAGUGUGGGGAGCAAACAGGAUUAGAUA